UGACAAGUGACCAAAGAUCUACUUUUGAUACAUUCACAGGACCAAAUUCCUGCACAGUAUCCCCAAGACACUGUCUUUCUAUAAAGACAUUUAUUCGUUGCCUUGGAGUCAGAAACAAUGAAUUUUCGUUUUGCAAUGAAUCACUGACCUUUCUUGAUGUUCCAAGUUGUUGAUUGGCGGUACUUCAGUGCUUUCUUGUGAUUCCUGGAUUUCCUCUGUUUCACUCUCAUACAACAAUUCUUGCUCAACUGGCUCUUCAAGUGCAUUCUGGAACGUAAAUUAUCCUACGUCUCCUUUUAAACCGUCUCGUCCGGCUGCUCCAGGUACACCAGGAACUCCUCGAGCCCCAGGAAUUCCACAGCUUGCUGAACAUUGAGCCUUUAAAACGCUUCACAACCAGCCAUAUCUUAAAGAUUUGUCAUUGCGGAAGGCAAAAGGAGGUAGCUCAAAUCGGAAAAGUCACCUAAAAAAGCUGUAAAUCAGGGAGAAGUGCGAGCCUAUGACUGUCACCAAAGAAGAGAAGAAAAGUAUAAGUGAAUUGAAGAAGCUAGAAAGUUGGAGCAAAGAGAACAAGAAGAAAAACGAGAAAGAA